rnacentral:rRNA from 1 species
UACGGGGGGAGCAAGCGUUGUUCGGAUUUACUGGGCGUAAAGGGCGCGUAGGCGGCGUGACAAGUCACUUGUGAAAUCUCCGGGCUUAACUCGGAACGGUCAAGUGAUACUGCUGUGCUAGAGUGCAGAAGGGGCAAUCGGAAUUCUUGGUGUAGCGGUGAAAUGCGUAGAUAUCAAGAGGAACACCUGAGGUGAAGACGGGUUGCUGGGCUGACACUGACGCUGAGACGCGAAAGCGUAGGGAGCGAACAGG